GAUGAAUGCUGGCGGCGCGCCUAACACAUGCAAGUCGAGCGGAAAGGCCCUUCGGGGUACUCGAGCGGCGGACGGCUGAGUAACGCGUGGGAACAUGCCCCAAAGUGAGGAAUAACUGCCCGAAAGGGUAGCUAAUGCCGCAUAUGAUCUUCGGAUUAAAGGAUUUAUCCGCUUUGGGAGUGGCCCGCGUACGAUUAGGUAGUUGGUGAGGGAAAGGCUCACCAAGCCUACGAUCGUUAACUGGUCUGAGAGGAUGAUCAGUCAGACUGGAACUGAGACACGGUCCAGACUCCUACGGGAGGCAGCAGUGAGGAAUCUUCCACAAUGGGCGAAAGCCUGAUGGAGCGACGCCGCGUGCAGGAUGAAGGCCUUCGGGUUGUAAACUGCUUUUAUAAGUGAAGAAUAUGACGGUAACUUAUGAAUAAGCACCGGCUAACUACCUGCCAGCCGCCGCGGUA
rnacentral:rRNA from 1 species